CGGCCAGUUAAAUAGGCGGGAAUGCCCGUGGGGUUCUGUUCUGGUUUUAGCUCUCUUGCCAAAAAGAGCUCUCUUGUAAAGCGGUUGAAGUUGUCUUGCUCCAAGUAUCAAUUUCCAGGGGAAAAAAAAAAGGCCGAGAUCCCGGAGUUGGCGCUGAACGUAUCGUAAUUACCUGAGCAACCAUGCUGGCUGCAAGGCUGGUGUGCCUGAGGGCACUGCCAUGCCAGACUAUCCGCCCUGCUCUCACUCAGGCUUCCCCAGCCUUGAGGAACUCCAGUAUAAAAGCCUACAGGCUGUGGCAGCCUAACCAGUGUUAUGCCACCAGAGUAAGAACAGGUGUAA